rnacentral:rRNA from 1 species
UACGGAGGGGGCUAGCGUUGUUCGGAAUUACUGGGCGUAAAGCGCACGUAGGCGGACCGGAAAGUUGGAGGUGAAAUCCCAGGGCUCAACCUUGGAACUGCCUUCAAAACUAUCGGUCUGGAGUUCGAGAGAGGUGAGUGGAAUUCCGAGUGUAGAGGUGAAAUUCGUAGAUAUUCGGAGGAACACCAGUGGCGAAGGCGGCUCACUGGCGCGAUACUGACGCUGAGGUGCGAAAGCGUGGGGAGCAAACAGG